rnacentral:lncRNA from 1 species
GCGGCGGCAGCGGCAGUCUCUGGAGCGUCCCUGUGAAGUGUCCCUGUUCUCGCUGCCGUGGGCCUCUCGGGGAGGCCGUCUGGAAAGCGAGUCGCUGCGGAGCCGUUCCCCUAGUCCCACAACCCUUCGGACUCUCGGUCCCAUCCUCGCGUUCCUGCUCGGGCUCCUCCAUCUUGGCCUCGGCAGUGGCUGCUACGGGGAGGAUGUGCCGCCUCCUGGCAGGGGGAAGAAGGAGGAGAAGAUGAAGAAGUACCGGCGGGCCUUGGCCCUGGUCUCCUGCCUCUCUCUCUGCUCUCUAGUCUGGCUUCCAAGUUGGCAUGUAUGCUGUAAAGAGAGUUCUUCAGCUUCAACAUCAUACUAUUCUCAAGAUGAUAAUUGUGCAGUAGGAAGUGAAGACAUACAGUUCCAGAAAAAGAAUGAAAGAGAAGAACCUAGUAAUGCUAAAGUAUCAGAAAAAUCAAAUUCAUAUUUAACUAUAUCUCCAG